UACAGAGGUCUCAAGCGUUGUUCGGAUUCAUUGGGCGUAAAGGGUGCGUAGGUGGCGCCAUAAGUCAGGUGUGAAAUCUCGGGGCUCAACUCCGAAACUGCACUUGAUACUGUGGUGCUCGAGUACUGGAGAGGAGAUUGGAAUUUACGGUGUAGCAGUGAAAUGCGUAGAUAUCGUAAGGAAGACCAGUGGCGAAGGCGAAUCUCUGGACAGU
rnacentral:rRNA from 1 species